AGACAGGCAUCUCGCUGCGUUUUCAAGAGCAUCAUUCCCUUCCUCAUGUGACUUUCUCUUUUAGGACCAACGUUUUUGGAAUGGGGCGGCAGUGAGCCCCAACAUCACUCUCCUGAGUCACAGUCUGGAGAGACUUGUGCUUUCUCACCUGGGCGAUUGCUGAAAAGGCCUGUGGAGGACACCCUAGCCCUCACUCAAGCUUUGACCCUCGGCCACACAGCUGGCUCUUGAUCAUCCAUCAGGCCUGAGUAUUAGCUGGACACAUGGUGUCCCAGUGAAAGACUACAGUUCCCAGACACCUUUGUGGAGACCAUGUGGCUUGUGGCCAUGCAACUAGAUUCCACCAAUGGGCUGUGAAUGGAAGGAACCUGUACCAUUUGGGGUCCUGCCCUUCGAAUGAUCUGAGGUAGGCUUUUCUUCCUUCUGGCUGGCUGGGAGAUGGAGAUAAUUGGGUCCACAAAUGGGAGAUGGAGAUAAUUGGGUCCACAAAUGGGAGAUGGAGAUAAUUGGGUCCACAAAUGGGAGAUGGAGAUAAUUAGGUCCACAGCAACUCAGGAUCCGAGCCAAAUCUGCCACCUACA